rnacentral:rRNA from 1 species
CAUGUACAUACCUACAAUAUAUCGUUAAUACACCAGAUCCCAUUAGAACUCCGCAGUUAAGCACGCUUAGGCUACAAUAGUACUUGGAUGGGUGACUCUCUCAGAAGUCCUAGUGUUUUACAUGC